GCUAAUGUGGCGCAGUCGGUAGCGCAACUGAUUCGUAAUCAGUAGGUCGGCGGUUCAAAUCCGCCCAUUAGCUCCA
rnacentral:tRNA from 1 species